rnacentral:sRNA from 1 species
AGUUUCUAAGGAUCAUGUCUGCGAGCCAGGAUUCCCGAUCCAGAGACAAUGGCCCCGAUGGGAUGGAGCCCGAAGGCGUCAUCGAGGUGAGACUGGAGAAAUGGAAUUCUGUCCUCCCCCAUUACAACUUUCAGCCUCACAGUUGUAUAGAGUUAGAGUGGCCUCUUGAUUGAUUUCCCAGACCAUCUAGAAGCAGCUGGUUUCCCUAAAGGGAGGAGGGGUUGUAAGCUCUGAGGCUUUUGUUAGUAGGCACCAGAUUCUGUUUGCUCUGAGACUACAGCUCAGCUCCACCUUUUCCAUGACUCAAGCUUUAAUUUCUUUGCAUCCCCUAGAGUAACUGGAAUGAGAUUGUUGACAGCUUUGAUGACAUGAACCUCUCGGAGUCCCUUCUCCGUGGUAUCUACGCCUAUGGUUUUGAGAAGCCCUCUGCCAUCCAGCAGCGAGCCAUUCUACCUUGUAUCAAGGAUACAGAAGGUGGUCAUGGCAUUAGGAGACUACAUGGGCGCCUCCUGUCACGCCUGUAUCGGGGGCACCAACGUGCGUGCUGAGGUGCAGAAACUGCAGAUGGAAGCUCCCCACAUCAUCGUGGGUACCCCUGGCCGUGUGUUUGAUAUGCUUAACCGGAGAUACCUGUGUGAGUAAUUCAGUUCUCCAAUCCCCUGGGUCACUUUGCU